rnacentral:rRNA from 1 species
GACGAACGCUGGCGGCGUGCCUAACACAUGCAAGUCGAACGGAAAGGCGCUGCUUUUGUGUGGUGCUCGAGUGGGGCGCGGGUGAGUAACACGUGAGUAUCCCGCCCUUGACUUUGGGAUAUCUUCAGGAAACUGGGGCUAAUACCGGAUAGGAGCUCCUGCUGCAUGGGGGGGGUUGGAAAGUUUAGGCGGUAGGGGAUCGACUCGCGGGUUACCAGCUUGUUGGUGGGGUAGUUGCUUACCAAGCCUUUGACGGAUAGCCGACAUGAGAGGUGAGACAGCGACAAGAGUACUACGGGAGGGAGCAGACGCGUACGGGAGGCAGUAGGCGAGAGUAUGACACAGUGGGCGGGCGUCUGAUACGACAGUGCCGCGAGCGUGAAGACGGCUUUCGGGGUGUGAACCGCUGUCGCCUGUGACGAAGCGUGAGUGACGGUAAUGGGUAAAGAAGCACCGGCUAACUACGUG